rnacentral:rRNA from 2 species
UUUUAGCAGGGAAGAAGCGAAAGUGACGGUACCUGCAGAAAAAGCACCGGCUAACUACGUGCCAGCAGCCGCGGUAAUACGUAGGGUGCAAGCGUUAUCCGGAAUUAUUGGGCGUAAAGAGCUCGUAGGCGGUUUGUCGCGUCUGCUGUGAAAACUGGGGGCUCAACCCCCAGCCUGCAGUGGGUACGGGCAGACUAGAGUGCGGUAGGGGAGAUUGGAAUUCCUGGUGUAGCGGUGGAAUGCGCAGAUAUCAGGAGGAACACCGAUGGCGAAGGCAGAUCUCUGGGCCGUAACUGACGCUGAGGAGCGAAAGGGUGGGGAGCAAACAGGCUUAGAUACCCUGGUAGUCCACCCCGUAAACGUUGGGAACUAGUUGUGGGGUCCAUUCCACGGAUUCCGUGACGCAGCUAACGCAUUAAGUUCCCCGCCUGGGGAGUACGGCCGCAAGGCUAAAACUCAAAGGAAUUGACGGGGACCCGCACAAGCGGCGGAGCAUGCGGAUUAAUUCGAUGCAACGCGAAGAACCUUACCAAGGCUUGACAUAUACGAGAACGGGCCAGAAAUGGUCAACUCUUUGGACACUCGUAAACAGGUGGUGCAUGGUUGUCGUCAGCUCGUGUCGUGAGAUGUUGGGUUAAGUCCCGCAACGAGCGCAACCCUCGUUCUAUGUUGCCAGCACGUAAUGGUGGGAACUCAUGGGAUACUGCCGGGGUCAACUCGGAGGAAGGUGGGGAUGACGUCAAAUCAUCAUGCCCCUUAUGUCUUGGGCUUCACGCAUGCUACAAUGGCCGGUACAAAGGGCUGCAAUACCGUAAGGUGGAGCGAAUCCCAAAAAGCCGGUCCCAGUUCGGAUUGAGGUCUGCAACUCGACCUCAUGAAGUCGGAGUCGCUAGUAAUCGCAGAUCAGCAACGCUGCGGUGAAUACGUUCCCGGGUCUUGUACACACCGCCCGUCAAGUCAUGAAAGUCGGUAACACCUGAAGCCGGU